GGAGUUGUGGCUCAGCAGUAAAGCACUCGCCUCGCACAUGCGAGACCCUGGGUUCAAUCCUCAGCACCA
rnacentral:tRNA from 1 species